CAGUAGUAUGACCUUUGGGUGGGGAAUAACUUAGGGAAACUUAAGCUAAUACCGCAUAAUGCAGCGGCUCCUUCGGGAGACAGUUGUUAAAGAUUUAUCGCCUAAAGAGCAGCCUGCGGCAGAUUAGCUAGUUGGUAAGGUAACGGCUUACCAAGGCUACGAUCUGUAUCCGACCUGAGAGGGUGGUCGGACACACUGACACUGAAUAACGGGUCAG
rnacentral:rRNA from 1 species